UACGUAGGGUGCAAGCGUUAAUCGGAAUUACUGGGCGUAAAGCGUGCGCAGGCGGUUCGCUAAGACCGAUGUGAAAUCCCCGGGCUUAACCUGGGAACUGCAUUGGUGACUGGCGGGCUAGAGUAUGGCAGAGGGGGGUAGGAAUUCUACGUGUAGCAGUGAAAUGCGUAGAGAUGUGGGAGGAAUACCGAUGGCGAAGGCAGCCCCCUGGGCCAACUACUGACGCUCCAUGCACGAAAGCGUGGGGAGCAAACAGGG
rnacentral:rRNA from 1 species